rnacentral:rRNA from 1 species
GUCAUAUGCUUGUCUCAAAGAUUAAGCCAUGCAUGUCUCAGUACAAGCCACAUUAAGGUGAAACCGCGAAAGGCUCAUUAAAUCAGUUAUGGUUCCUUAGAUCGUACCCACAAUUACUUGGAUAACUGUGGUAAUUCUAGAGCUAAUACAUGCAAACAGAGCUCCGACCGGAGACGGAAGGAGUGCUUUUAUUAGAUCAAAACCAAUCGGUGGCGGGUUCGCGCUCGUCAUCGUACAACUUGGUGACUCUGAAUAACUUUACGCUGAUCGCACGGUCAUAGCACCGGCGACGCAUCUUUCAAAUGUCUGCCUUAUCAACUGUCGAUGGUAGGUUCUGCGCCUACCAUGGUUGUAACGGGUAACGGGGAAUCAGGGUUCGAUUCCGGAGAGGGAGCCUGAGAAACGGCUACCACAUCCAAGGAAGGCAGCAGGCGCGCAAAUUACCCACUCCCGGCACGGGGAGGUAGUGACGAAAAAUAACGAUACGGGACUCAUCCGAGGCCCCGUAAUCGGAAUGAGUACACUCUAAACCCUUUAACGAGGAUCAAUUGGAGGGCAAGUCUGGUGCCAGCAGCCGCGG